AGUGAACGCUGGCGGUAGACCUAACACAUGCAAGUCGAACGGCAGCACAUUAAGAGCUUGCUCUUACGGGUGGCGAGUGGCGGACGGGUGAGGAAUACAUCGAAAUCUACUUUUUCGUGGGGGAUAACGUAGGGAAACUUACGCUAAUACCGCAUACGACCUACGGGUGAAAGCAGGGGAUCUUCGGACCUUGCGCGAUUGAAUGAGCCGAUGUCGGAUUAGCUAGUUGGCGGGGUAAAGGCCCACCAAGGCGACGAUCCGUAGCUGGUCUGAGAGGAUGAUCAGCCACACUGGAACUGAGACACGGUCCAGACUCCUACGGGAGGCAGCAGUGGGGAAUAUUGGACAAUGGGCGCAAGCCUGAUCCAGCCAUACCGCGUGGGUGAAGAAGGCCUUCGGGUUGUAAAGCCCUUUUGUUGGGAAAGAAAGGCAGCAGGUUAAUACCCCGCUGUUCUGACGGUACCCAAAGAAUAAGCACCGGCUAACUUCGUG
rnacentral:rRNA from 1 species